ACUACGGGUGGCAGCAGUGAGGAAUAUUGGUCAAUGGGCGCGAGCCUGAACCAACCAAGUCGCGUGAGGGAAGACGGUCCUAUGGAUUGUAAACCUCUUUUGUCGGGGAGCACAAGACGCCACGCGUGGCGUUCCGAGAGUACCCGAAGAAAAAGCAUCGGCUAACUCCGUGCAAGCAGCCGCGGUAAUACGGAGGAUGCGAGGGUUAUCCGGAUUUAUUGGGUUUAAAGGGUGCGCAGGCGGAAGAUCAAGUCAGCGGUAAAAUUGAGGGGCUCAACCUCUUCGAGCCGUUGAAACUGGUUUUCUUGAGUGAGUGAGAGGUAUGCGGAAUGCGAGGUGUAGCGGUGAAAUGCAUAGAUAUCACGCAGAACACCGAUUGCGAAGGCAGCAUACCGGCGCUAAACUGACGCUCAUGCACGAAAGUGUGGGUAUCGAACAGGAUUAGAUACCCGGGUAGUC
rnacentral:rRNA from 1 species